rnacentral:rRNA from 1 species
AUUGAACGCUGGCGGCAGGCCUAACACAUGCAAGUCGAGCGGAUGAAGGGAGCUUGCUCCUGGAUUCAGCGGCGGACGGGUGAGUAAUGCCUAGGAAUCUGCCUGGUAGUGGGGGAUAACGUCCGGAAACGGGCGCUAAUACCGCAUACGUCCUGAGGGAGAAAGUGGGGGAUCUUCGGACCUCACGCUAUCAGAUGAGCCUAGGUCGGAUUAGCUAGUUGGUGGGGUAAAGGCCUACCAAGGCGACGAUCCGUAACUGGUCUGAGAGGAUGAUCAGUCACACUGGAACUGAGACACGGUCCAGACUCCUACGGGAGGCAGCAGUGGGGAAUAUUGGACAAUGGGCGAAAGACUGAUCCAGCCAUGCCGCGUGUGAAGAAGGUCUUCGGAUUGUAAAGCACUUUAAGUUGGGAGGAAGGGCAGUAAGUUAAUACCUUGCUGUUUUGACGUUACCAACAGAAUAAGCACCGGCUAACUUCGUG